UUUAAUUAAAAACACAGCACUGUGCAAAAUCGUAAGAUGACGUAUACGGUGUGACGCCUGCCCGGUGCCGGAAGGUUAAUUGAUGGGGUUAGACUUCGGUCGAAGCUCUUGAUCGAAGCCCCGGUAAACGGCGGCCGUAACUAUAACGGUCCUAAGGUAGCGAAAUUCCUUGUCGGGUAAGUUCCGACCUGCACGAAUGGCGUAAUGAUGGCCACGCUGUCUCCACCCGAGACUCAGUGAAAUUGAAAUCGCUGUGAAGAUGCAGUGUACCCGCGGCUAGACGGAAAGACCCCGUGAACCUUUACUACAGCUUGGCACUGAACAUUGACCCUACAUGUGUAGGAUAGGUGGGAGGCUUUGAAGCACGUACGCCAGUAUGUGUGGAGCCGUCCUUGAAAUACCACCCUUGUAGUGUUGAUGUUCUAACGUCGACCCCUUAUCGGGGUUGCGGACAGUGCCUGGUGGGUAGUUUGACUGGGGCGGUCUCCUCCCAAAGAGUAACGGAGGAGCACGAAGGUGGGCUAAUCACGGUUGGACAUCGUGAGGUUAGUGCAAUGGCAUAAGCCCGCUUGACUGCGAGAAUGACAAUUCGAGCAGGUGCGAAAGCAGGUCAUAGUGAUCCGGUGGUUCUGAAUGGAAGGGCCAUCGCUCAACGGAUAAAAGGUACUCCGGGGAUAACAGGCUGAUACCGCCCAAGAGUUCAUAUCGACGGCGGUGUUUGGCACCUCGAUGUCGGCUCAUCACAUCCUGGGGCUGAAGUCGGUCCCAAGGGUAUGGCUGUUCGCCAUUUAAAGUGGUACGCGAGCUGGGUUUAGAACGUCGUGAGACAGUUCGGUCCCUAUCUGCCGUGGGCGUUGGAAGAUUGAAGGGGGCUGCUCCUAGUACGAGAGGACCGGAGUGGACGAACCUCUGGUGUUCGGGUUGUGUCGCCAGACGCAUUGCCCGGUAGCUAAGUUCGGAAUCGAUAACCGCUGAAAGCAUCUAAGCGGGAAGCGAGCCCUGAGAUGAGUCUUCCCUGAUACUUUAAGUAUCCUAAAGGGUUGUCGGAGACUACGACGUUGAUAGGUCAGGUGUGUAAGUGCUGUGAGGCAUUGAGCUAACUGAUACUAAUUGCCCGUGAGGCUUAACCAU
rnacentral:rRNA from 1 species